rnacentral:tRNA from 1 species
GCAUCGGUGGUUCAGUGGUAGAAUGCUCGCCUGCCACUCGGGCGGCCCUGGUUCGAUUCCCGGCCGCAGUA